rnacentral:rRNA from 1 species
UACGAGUGCUCCAAGCGUUAUCCGGAAUCAUUGGGCGUAAAGGGUGUGUAGGCGGUUGUGUUAGUCUUUUGUUAAAUUCUUCGGCUUAACCGGGGGCAUGCAAAGGAAACGGCACAACUAGAGGAUGCAAGAGGUGAAUGGAACUCAUGGAGUAGGGGUGAAAUCCGUUGAUAUCAUGGGGAACACCAAAUGCGAAGGCAAUUCACUGGCGCACUCCUGACGCUGAGACACGAAAGCGUAGGUAGCGAAUGGG